rnacentral:lncRNA from 1 species
CUCACUGUGGACUCAAUAUGGAUCGAAUCUCGAGACGUCAAAUUCUAACAAAUAGAUUGUCUAAUCCAUAAAUCCAGCAAAAAAAUCCAGCCCAAUCGUGCAAGUCUAUUCAAACAGACGCUUAGAGGAAAGCUUAACUGACAUAACAAGGAAAAUAGAUGCAGAUCAACUUUCAAAACAGGACCUACUUGAUACAAUAUCUGGGAGCACAUAACCAU